UCCAUUUGAAAGUGUGUUGAGAGCUUCUCGGACUAUCCACCUCUCGGUCGCUUUGCUGUUUGUGAUAUGAGACAGACAGUCGCCGUGGGUGUCAUCAAAGCAGUGGACAAGAAGGCUGCUGGAGCUGGCAAGGUCACCAAGUCUGCCCAGAAAGCUCAGAAGGCUAAAUGAAUAUUAUCCCUAUACCUGCCACCUCAGUGUUAAUCAGUGGUGGAGGAAGAACAGUCUCAGAACUGUUUGUUUCAAUUGGCCAUUUAAGUUUAGUAGUAAAAGACUCGUUAAUGAUAACAAUGCAUCGUAAAACCUUCAGAAGGAAAGGAGAAUGUUUUGUGGACCACUUUGGUUUUCUUUUUGCUUGUGGCAGUUUUAAGUUAUUAGUUUUUAAAAUCAGUACUUUUUAAUGGAAACAACUUGACCAAAAAUUUGUCACAGAAUUUUGGGACCCAUUAAAAAAGACUGAUUUUAAAAAUUA